rnacentral:rRNA from 1 species
AGAGUUUGAUCCUGGCUCAGACGAACGCUGGCGGCGUGCUUAACACAUGCAAGUCGAACGAUGAAGCCCUUCGGGGUGGAUUAGUGGCGAACGGGUGAGUAACACGUGGGCAAUCUGCCCUUCACUCUGGGACAAGCCCUGGAAACGGGGUCUAAUACCGGAUACCACCUCCCGAGGCAUCUUGGGGGGUUGAAAGCUCCGGCGGUGAAGGAUGAGCCCGCGGCCUAUCAGCUUGUUGGUGGGGUGAUGGCCUACCAAGGCGACGACGGGUAGCCGGCCUGAGAGGGCGACCGGCCACACUGGGACUGAGACACGGCCCAGACUCCUACGGGAGGCAGCAGUGGGGAAUAUUGCACAAUGGGCGAAAGCCUGAUGCAGCGACGCCGCGUGAGGGAUGACGGCCUUCGGGUUGUAAACCUCUUUCAGCAGGGAAGAAGCGCAAGUGACGGUACCUGCAGAAGAAGCGCCGGCUAACUACGUGCCAGCAGCCGCGGUAAUACGUAGGGCGCAAGCGUUGUCCGGAAUUAUUGGGCGUAAAGAGCUCGUAGGCGGCUUGUCACGUCGGAUGUGAAAGCCCGGGGCUUAACCCCGGGUCUGCAUUCGAUACGGGCUAGCUAGAGUGUGGUAGGGGAGAUCGGAAUUCCUGGUGUAGCGGUGAAAUGCGCAGAUAUCAGGAGGAACACCGGUGGCGAAGGCGGAUCUCUGGGCCAUUACUGACGCUGAGGAGCGAAAGCGUGGGGAGCGAACAGGAUUAGAUACCCUGGUAGUCCACGCCGUAAACGUUGGGAACUAGGUGUUGGCGACAUUCCACGUCGUCGGUGCCGCAGCUAACGCAUUAAGUUCCCCGCCUGGGGAGUACGGCCGCAAGGCUAAAACUCAAAGGAAUUGACGG